CUGGAGUUGCAGUCCCGCGUGGCUGAGGGGCCGGGCCGCGGGGCCGCCGGGGAGUUACACCAGUGCGUGGCUGAGGCACGGAAGACAGAGAUGAUUCCGGGGUGGCUCCUUUGAACCGCUGCCUACUGGGCUUCAGCAGAGAGAAGAAUGCACUCACUUGAAGAAGAGACGCACGACAAAUGUUCUGAGACUGAGAAAUUCUCUCCUGCAUCCAGAUUUGAACUUGGGACCAUCUCAUGUGUCUCAGUGGUAUCCUCUGGAGAGUUGUGCAGUUCUGAAGUGGAAGAAAACAGCAGCAACAAAGUUAUUGAUACAUAGCAUAGUCUGGUGCCCUUAGGAAGAAGUCAAAUGGCAGAAAACGCAUUUUUUAAAGAAAAAAAAUAGUCUGGAUGAAGGAUGAGAGUGACCCAGAGUGAUUGAAUCGGCAGCCCCAAGCCUAAGGCACAGUGACAAGACCUGGAUCAUCUAACCUUCUCUUUACUCUCAGACUACAUGAGCCUUUGUGAAGGCAUACAUAUCUCCCUCCUUCCCUGUUUUGGUCACUUCUUUUCUUCAUCUUUCUCUCCUCUGCUCCUCCACCACAAAUUAGAAGUCCA
rnacentral:lncRNA from 1 species